GGGUAGAUGGGUGAGCGGUUUAAACCAGUCGCCUGGAACGCGGCCGUAGGUAACACUACCGAGAGUUCGAAUCUCUCUCUACCCGCCA
rnacentral:tRNA from 2 species